rnacentral:rRNA from 1 species
CCUACGGGAGGCAGCAGUGGGGAAUUGUUCGCAAUGGGCGCAAGCCUGACGACGCAACGCCGCGUGGAGGAUGAAGACCUUCGGGUCGUAAACUCCUUUCGAUCGAGACGAAUGUUUUCCGGGUGAACAAUCCGGAAAAGUGACGGUACCGAGAGAAGAAGCCCCGGCUAACUCUGUGCCAGCAGCCGCGGUAAUACAGGGGGGGCAAGCGUUGUUCGGAAUUACUGGGCGUAAAGGGCUUGUAGGUGGCCAACUAAGUCAGACGUGAAAUCCCUCAGCUUAACUGGGGAACUGCGUCUGAUACUGGAUGGCUGAGUUUGGGAGAGGGAUGCGGAAUUCCAGGUGUAGCGGUGAAAUGCGUAGAUAUCUGGAGGAACACCGGUGGCGAAGGCGGCAUCCUGGACCAACACUGACACUGAGGAGCGAAAGCCAGGGGAGCAAACGGGAUUAGAUACCCCGGUAGUCCUGGCCCUAAACGAUGAAUGCUUGGUGUGGCGGGUAUCGAUCCCUGCCGUGCCGAAGCUAACGCAUUAAGCAUUCCGCCUGGGGAAUCGGUGCAAGGCUGAAACUCAAAUGAAAUUGACGGCNGAGAGNGCGAGACGACGACGAGGAGGAGG